CCCCCUCACUUUUUCCUUCUCUUUCUCUUUAUCCAUUCAAUUUAUGAAUGUGAUUUAUAAAGGUUUUGAUCAAUCAUAUAUUUUCCUUACGAUUUUCUCUUCAUCUUCAAUUUUUAAUUGAUUUUUGGAUUUAAUUGCAUAGAUUAAUAAAGUUUUGGUCUUUCCUUUAGUUCCACGUGUCAAACUCUGAGAAGAAUAGAAAUUGGGGUGAAAUUUGAGAUUAAAAGCUUAUUAAAAAUUGUAGAACCUAGAUAAAAUAAUUCUUACAUUAUUUUAAUACUUCAAUCUUCUCCACCAACUUUUACAAUCUUCAGACUAUACUACUAUUGUUCUAGUUUUGUUAACAUCUUUUUCAAUCCUCAAAUUGGGGGAAGAGAGUUUUUAAAUGGAGGUAGAGAGUUAUCAAAGUUGCCCAUUGAACCUGAAAUGCUAACCAUGGUGUUCUCAUAACGAUAUCUCUUGUUUAUAAAAUUUCAUGGUUCUUCAUCUGGGUUUGCUAUGCUGAAUGAUCUGCCCCCAUGUUUCCAUGUGUGGGACUCUUCAAAUUCUUAAUGGUGUAGAUUUAUUUGAAGAAUGGAGAGAUAAGCUUCCAACAUCUUCCUUUGCUAUGCAGGACAGUUUUGGAUCAAUAGACCAAUUCGAAGGUGUAUUUGUCAAUGAUUAUCACAUGGAAAAUGGUUGUGUCCUGAUUUGUGUUUUAUUUUCACACCUGAACCUUAUAGAUAUGCAUAAGGAAGAUGAUUCCAUUAAAAAGGCUUGAUUUAUGCCAUGAAAGUGGUAGAGAAAAAAGAAUAAAUAAAUGAAGAAAUUGGGUAUGUGCCUCAUAGAUGGUGAUGCUUGUGUUUGGUUUGUAAUGGCAUUACUCAUAUUGCAAUCCAUUAUUAGUUACAUCAUAUUUGGGCACCUCAACUAAUUUCAUGGGAUACCAUAUCGCUUUCUAAGAUAAUAUCAGUUUGAUAAUGGUUCCACGGGGUUUAUUGAACAUGUAUGACGCUUAUCAGAAUACUGGGACGAAUUCAAACAAUGUAAACUCCUGUACAAUGAUUCAGAUGAUGGAGGCAAAUGUAGAAAGUCAGAUCAGAAGCACUGCAAAAGGUUAUGUUACUUGGACGGCAGGAGAGCUCAAGUCAUUAGCCAACUAAUCAUUGAGUUUCAAUCACUUCAAUAUGUUAUUAAGCUAGAUUUUUUUCGGUUAGAUGUUAUAAAAAGUCUGUCUUGUACUUCUUUGAUUGAGAUUAUUGAAUUUCAUUUAUCUUAAGGCAAUGUAAUCUUUCUUUCACCUUUCACUUUGUGUAUAUCGCACGUGUAAAUGGCUAAGAAAAAAUAGCAUAUGAUUUAGUAGAUUUCAGAUUAGUUAAUAAAGUAAUUGAUUGUUGGGGGUUGAUGA